UCACCUACGGGGGGCAGCAGUAGGGAAUCUUCCACAAUGGACGAAAGUCUGAUGGAGCAACGCCGCGUGAGUGAAGAAGGGUUUCGGCUCGUAAAGCUCUGUUGGUAGUGAAGAAAGAUAGAGGUAGUAACUGGCCUUUAUUUGACGGUAAUUACUUAGAAAGUCACGGCUAACUACGUGCCAGCAGCCGCGGUAAUACGGAGGUGGCAAGGGUUGGCCGGAUUUUUUGGGCGUAAAGCG
rnacentral:rRNA from 1 species